rnacentral:rRNA from 1 species
GGGUCAGUAGGUUGGUCGUGCCACCGGUACGUACUGGUCUCACUGAUUCCUCCUUCCUGAAGAACCGUAAUGCCAUUAAUUUGGUGUUGCGGGGAAACAGGACUGUUACUUUGAAAAAAUUAGAGUGUUUAAAGCAAGCUAACGCUUGAAUACAUUAGCAUGGAAUAAUGAAAUAGGACGAUCGAUCCUAUUUUGUUGGUUUCUAGGAUUGACGUAAUGAUUAAUUGUGAUAGUUGGG